rnacentral:rRNA from 1 species
UUAAGCGACUAAGCGUACACGGUGGAUGCCCUGGCAGUCAGAGGCGAUGAAGGACGUGCUAAUCUGCGAUAAGCGUCGGUAAGGUGAUAUGAACCGUUAUAACCGGCGAUUUCCGAAUGGGGAAACCCAGUGUGUUUCGACACACUAUCAUUAACUGAAUCCAUAGGUUAAUGAGGCGAACCGGGGGAACUGAAACAUCUAAGUACCCCGAGGAAAAGAAAUCAACCGAGAUUCCCCCAGUAGCGGCGAGCGAACGGGGAGCAGCCCAGAGCCUGAAUCAGUGUGUGUGUUAGUGGAAGCGUCUGGAAAGGCGCGCGAUACAGGGUGACAGCCCCGUACACAAAAAUGCACAUGCUGUGAGCUCGAUGAGUAGGGCGGGACACGUGGUAUCCUGUCUGAAUAUGGGGGGACCAUCCUCCAAGGCUAAAUACUCCUGACUGACCGAUAGUGAACCAGUACCGUGAGGGAAAGGCGAAAAGAACCCCGGCGAGGGGAGUGAAAAAGAACCUGAAACCGUGUACGUACAAGCAGUGGGAGCACGCUUAGGCGUGUGACUGCGUACCUUUUUGUAUAAUGGGUCAGCGACUUAUAUUCUGUAGCAAGGUUAACCGAAUAGGGGAGCCGAAGGGAAACCGAGUCUUAACUGGGCGUUAAGUUGCAGGGUAUAGACCCGAAACCCGGUGAUUCAGCCAUGGGCAGGUUGAAGGUUGGGUAACACUAACUGGAGGACCGAACCGACUAAUGUUGAAAAUUAGCGGAUGACUUGUGGCUGGGGUGAAAGGCCAAUCAAACCGGGAGAUAGCUGGUUCUCCCGAAAGCUAUUUAGGUAGCGCCUCGUGAAUUCAUCUCCGGGGGUAGAGCACUGUUUCGGCAAGGGGGUCAUCCCGACUUACCAACCCGAUGCAAACUGCGAAUACCGGAGAAUGUUAUCACGGGAGACACACGGCGGGUGCUAACGUCCGUCGUGAAGAGGGAAACAACCCAGACCGCCAGCUAAGGUCCCAAAGUCAUGGUUAAGUGGGAAACGAUGUGGGAAGGCCCAGACAGCCAGGAUGUUGGCUUAGAAGCAGCCAUCAUUUAAAGAAAGCGUAAUAGCUCACUGGUCGAGUCGGCCUGCGCGGAAGAUGUAACGGGGCUAAACCAUGCACCGAAGCUGCGGCAGCGACGCUGAUGCGUUGUUGGGUAGGGGAGCGUUCUGUAAGCCUGCGAAGGUGUGCUGUGAGGCAUGCUGGAGGUAUCAGAAGUGCGAAUGCUGACAUAAGUAACGAUAAAGCGGGUGAAAAGCCCGCUCGCCGGAAGACCAAGGGUUCCUGUCCAACGUUAAUCGGGGCAGGGUGAGUCGACCCCCUAAGGCGAGGCCGAAAGGCGUAGUCGAUGGGAAACAGGUUAAUAUUCCUGUACUUGGUGUUACUGCGAAGGGGGGGGACGGAGAAGGCUAUGUUGGCCGGGCGACGGUUGUCCCGGUUUAAGCGUGUAGGCUGGUUUUCCAGGCAAAUCCGGAAAAUCAAGGCUGAGGCGUGAUGACGAGGCACUACGGUGCUGAAGCAACAAAUGCCCUGCUUCCAGGAAAAGCCUCUAAGCAUCAGGUAACAUCAAAUCGUACCCCAAACCGACACAGGUGGUCAGGUAGAGAAUACCAAGGCGCUUGAGAGAACUCGGGUGAAGGAACUAGGCAAAAUGGUGCCGUAACUUCGGGAGAAGGCACGCUGAUAUGUAGGUGAAGCGACUUGCUCGUGGAGCUGAAAUCAGUCGAAGAUACCAGCUGGCUGCAACUGUUUAUUAAAAACACAGCACUGUGCAAACACGAAAGUGGACGUAUACGGUGUGACGCCUGCCCGGUGCCGGAAGGUUAAUUGAUGGGGUCAGCGCAAGCGAAGCUCUUGAUCGAAGCCCCGGUAAACGGCGGCCGUAACUAUAACGGUCCUAAGGUAGCGAAAUUCCUUGUCGGGUAAGUUCCGACCUGCACGAAUGGCGUAAUGAUGGCCAGGCUGUCUCCACCCGAGACUCAGUGAAAUUGAACUCGCUGUGAAGAUGCAGUGUACCCGCGGCAAGACGGAAAGACCCCGUGAACCUUUACUAUAGCUUGACACUGAACAUUGAGCCUUGAUGUGUAGGAUAGGUGGGAGGCUUGGAAGUGUGGACGCCAGUCUGCAUGGAGCCGACCUUGAAAUACCACCCUUUAAUGUUUGAUGUUCUAACGUUGACCCGUAAUCCGGGUUGCGGACAGUGUCUGGUGGGUAGUUUGACUGGGGCGGUCUCCUCCUAAAGAGUAACGGAGGAGCACGAAGGUUGGCUAAUCCUGGUCGGACAUCAGGAGGUUAGUGCAAUGGCAUAAGCCAGCUUGACUGCGAGCGUGACGGCGCGAGCAGGUGCGAAAGCAGGUCAUAGUGAUCCGGUGGUUCUGAAUGGAAGGGCCAUCGCUCAACGGAUAAAAGGUACUCCGGGGAUAACAGGCUGAUACCGCCCAAGAGUUCAUAUCGACGGCGGUGUUUGGCACCUCGAUGUCGGCUCAUCACAUCCUGGGGCUGAAGUAGGUCCCAAGGGUAUGGCUGUUCGCCAUUUAAAGUGGUACGCGAGCUGGGUUUAGAACGUCGUGAGACAGUUCGGUCCCUAUCUGCCGUGGGCGCUGGAGAACUGAGGGGGGCUGCUCCUAGUACGAGAGGACCGGAGUGGACGCAUCACUGGUGUUCGGGUUGUCAUGCCAAUGGCACUGCCCGGUAGCUAAAUGCGGAAGAGAUAAGUGCUGAAAGCAUCUAAGCACGAAACUUGCCCCGAGAUGAGUUCUCCCUGACUCCUUGAGAGUCCUGAAGGAACGUUGAAGACGACGACGUUGAUAGGCCGGGUGUGUAAGCGCAGCGAUGCGUUGAGCUAACCGGUACUAAUGAACCGUGAGGCUUAACCU